GCCAGUGUGGUAUAGUGGUUAAGAGCGGUAGACUCAUAAUCUGGUGAAUCGGGUUCGAUUCCCCGCUCAUCCACAUGUAGCU
rnacentral:tRNA from 1 species